UGCUGGCUCCUCUGCCUAAUGAACUGCAAGGAGAAGCAUCCUGGUCUUUACACCUUCUUCUUUGGAGUCUCUUUGGUUCCUUUUACUGUGGUUCAUAUCAUCAGUCAAGGAAUCCUUAAACUUGAAGUCUAUCAAUCAAAAAACUGCUUGAUACCAUCGCUGAAACUUCUGCUACUGCAAACAAAGUGCCACCUCCAGUGACCACAGCAAAGAGAGCCUUGGUUUUUGGAAUUGUACCUCCUGAAAUUGGAUCAAAUUCAGCUGAAGCUAUUACACCUGCCUCACUGCCCACCAAUGCACUCUCAGCUUUCGCUCCAACUAAUCUUGCACCUGGAAGUCCCUUGAAGAAGCAGCAUGAUAAUGAACUCUGAACUUGCUUGAAGCCUUUUGAAUUGCUAAUCUUGCUAAUCUUGAAGCACUUUACAGCUGAAUUGCUAAUGUUACAUCUUUUGACACAAUAUUGACAUCCAUUAAGAAA